AGAUUAUACCCAUUUCAUGUGCUGUCUACAAUGAAUGCAGAUGGAUGUCUCAACGCAAUGAGCUUAAACCGGUUAUGGAAUGUUGCAUAUCAGCAUACCAAAACAAGAGCGCCCCCUUUUACACAAGGUUGAAUUUGUCAGAUGCGUACGGACGAGCUGCAGAAAAAUGCUUGGUAUGCUUAUGGAAAGGUGCCCAAGACCGCAG
rnacentral:lncRNA from 1 species